rnacentral:rRNA from 1 species
UAACUGAAGAGUUUGAUCAUGGCUCAGAUUGAACGCUGGCGGCAGGCUUAACACAUGCAAGUCGAGCGGGGGAAGGUAGCUUGCUACUGGACCUAGCGGCGGACGGGUGAGUAAUGCUUAGGAAUCUGCCUAUUAGUGGGGGACAACAUCUCGAAAGGGAUGCUAAUACCGCAUACGUCCUACGGGAGAAAGCAGGGGAUCUUCGGACCUUGCGCUAAUAGAUGAGCCUAAGUCGGAUUAGCUAGUUC